rnacentral:rRNA from 1 species
GGAUUAGAUACCCUGGUAGUCCACGCCGUAAACGAUGUCUACUAGUUGUCGGUUGUCUUGUACGACGGGUAACGCAGCUAACGCGAUAAGUAGAUCGCCUGGGGAGUACGGCCGCAAGGUUAAAACUCAAAUGAAUUGACGGGGGCCCGCACAAGCGGUGGAGCAUGUGGUUUAAUUCGAAGCAACGCGAAGAACCUUACCUGGCCUUGACAUCCUGAGAACCUGUCCCAAAAGACGGGGUGCCCUUCGGGGAAUUCAGUGACAGGCGCUGCAUGGCUGUCGUCAGCUCGUGCUG